ACGGCGACAGUGACGAAGAAGGAUGCCACCUAGCUCGUUGCCUCGCCAGCAGGUGCGCCCGUUGCGGUUUAGUUCACAGAGACUACGAUCUAGCAGCAAAGAUUAUGGGUGACAUGGAAAAGUUCGAUUGUGAGGUUUUUAUUCCUGAUGUCAACGAGCUGCAAAUGGAUGGUGACACUAUACUUGUGCCUGACCAUGUUUUGAUUAAGUUGGACAAGCAAAUGGAAGAUGCAAAGAACAAACAUUUGAUGCAGCAAGACUAGCGAGAGCUUCAUCUAGCAAGGAUGCUUCGCAAGUGAUUUGCAAUGGCAGCCGUUCUUCUCUCUCAAGUCUUUGUUUUUGCAUGUGAGGAAUUUUGUAAUUGUUGUUUCCUUUAACCUUGAUGGAUUCCUUCAAAACAGUCUGAAGAGUUACAAAAAUUCUA